rnacentral:rRNA from 1 species
UGCAAGUCGAACGAAGGUACUUGUACCUUAGUGGCGAACGGGUGAGUAACACGUAGGUAAUCUGCCCUCAAGACGAGGAUAACUGUUGGAAACGACAGCUAAUACUGGAUAGGUAUAUAGGAGGCAUCUCUUAUAUAUUAAAGGACCACUGGUAUGCUUGAGGAUGAACCUGCGGCGCAUUAGUUAGUUGGUGAGGUAAUGGCUCACCAAGACGAUGAUGCGUAGCCGGACUGAGAGGUUGAACGGCCACAUUGGGACUGAGACACGGCCCAAACUCCUACGGGAGGCAGCAGUAGGGAAUUUUCGGCAAUGGAGGAAACUCUGACCGAGCAACGCCGCGUGAAUGAAGACAUAUUUCGGUAUGUAAAGUUCUUUUAUUAGGGAAGAAUAGCCCAUGGAAAAAUGGGUGUGACGGUACCUAAUGAAUAAGCCCCGGCUAACUAUGUGCCAGCAGCCGCGGUAAUACAUAGGGGGCAAGCGUUAUCCGGAAUUAUUGGGCGUAAAGGGUGCGUAGGCGGCCAUUUAAGUCUUUGGUAUAAGUGCAGUGCUUAACGCUGUGAUGCUAAGGAAACUGAAUGGCUUGAGUGAGAUAGAGGCAAGUGGAAUUCCAUGUGUAGCGGUAAAAUGCGUAAAUAUAUGGAGGAACACCAGUGGCGAAGGCGGCUUGCUGGGUCUACACUGACGCUGAGGCACGAAAGCGUGGGGAGCAAACAGGAUUAGAUACCCUGGUA